GACAGAGGGUGCAAACGUUGUUCGGAAUUACUGGGCGUAAAGCGCGUGUAGGCGGCUUCGCAAGUCGGAUGUGAAAUCCCACGGCUCAACCGUGGAAGUGCAUUCGAAACUGCAAGGCUAGAGUUCUGGAGAGGAAGGUGGGAUGCUUGGUGUAGAGGUGAAAUUCGUAGAUAUCAAGCGGAACACCGGUGGCGAAGGCGGCCUUCUGGACAGUAACUGACGCUGAGACGCGAAAGCGUGGGGAGCAAACAGGAUUGAGAA
rnacentral:rRNA from 1 species